AGUGAACGCUGGCGGUAGGCCUAACACAUGCAAGUCGAACGGCAGCACAGUAAGAGCUUGCUCUUACGGGUGGCGAGUGGCGGACGGGUGAGGAAUACAUCGGAAUCUACUUUUUCGUGGGUGAUAACGUAGGGAAACUUACGCUACUACCGCAUACGACCUACGGGUGAAAGCAGGGGAUCUUCGGACCUUGCGCGAUUGAAUGAGCCGAUGUCGGAUUAGCUAGUUGGCGGGGUAAAGGCCCACCAAGGCGACGAUCCGUAGCUGGUCUGAGAGGAUGACCAGCCACACUGGAACUGAGACACGGUCCAGACUCCUACGGGAGGCAGCAGUGGGGAAUAUUGGACAAUGGGCGCAAGCCUGAUCCAGCCAUACCGCGUGGGUGAAGAAGGCCUGCGGGUUGUAAAGCCCUUUUGUUGAGAAAGAAAAUCAGCAGGUUAAUACCCCGAUGUUCUGACGGUACCCAAAGAAUAAGCACCGGCUAACUUCGUG
rnacentral:rRNA from 1 species